rnacentral:misc_RNA from 1 species
GAAAUGCGAUACGUAAUGUGAAUUGCAGAAUUCAGUGAAUCAUCGAGUCUUUGAACGCACAUUGCGCCCCCUGGUAUUCCGGGGGGGCAUGCCUGUCCGAGCGUCAUUGCUGCCCUCAAGCACGGCUUGUGUGUUGGGCCCCCGUCUCCCCCCAAGGGGACGGGCCCGAAAGGCAGCGGCGGCACCGUGUCCGGUCCUCGAGCGUAUGGGAAGCAACUUUUUGUCACCCGCUCCUGUAGGUCCGGCCGGCGGCCUGCCCAACCCCAACCUUUUUUUCAACCAGGUUGACCUCGGAUCAGGUAGGGAUACCCGCUGAACUUAAGC